rnacentral:rRNA from 1 species
UACGGAGGGGGCUAGCGUUGUUCGGAAUUACUGGGCGUAAAGGGCGCGUAGGCGGCCUGCUAAGUCGAACGUGAAAUCCCCGGGCUCAACCCGGGAACUGCGUCCGAUACUGGUUGGCUUGAAUCCGGGAGAGGGAUGCGGAAUUCCAGGUGUAGCGGUGAAAUGCGUAGAUAUCAAGAGGAACACCGGAGGUGAAGACGGGUUGCUGGGCCAACACUGACGCUGAGGCGCGAAAGCCAGGGGAGCAAACGGG